AGAAUCAACGCUGGCGGCGUGCCUAACACAUGCAAGUCGCACGAGAAAGGGGAGCAAUCCCUGAGUAAAGUGGCGCACGGGUGAGUAACACGUGAAUGAUCUACCUCCGAGUGGGGAAUAACUGAGAGAAAUCUUAGCUAAUACCGCAUAAUACCCACGGGUCAAAGCAGCAAUGCGCUUGGAGAGGAGUUCGCGGCCGAUUAGCUAGUUGGCGGGGUAAUGGCCCACCAAGGCGAUGAUCGGUA
rnacentral:rRNA from 1 species